rnacentral:rRNA from 1 species
UACGUAGGGUGCAAGCGUUAUUCGGAAUUACUGGGCGUAAAGCGUGCGCAGGCGGUUUAGUAAGUCUGUCGUGAAAUCCCCGGGCUUAACCUGGGAAUGGCGAUGGAGACUGCGAGGCUAGAGUUUGGCAGAGGGGGGUAGAAUUCCACGUGUAGCAGUGAAAUGCGUAGAGAUGUGGAGGAACACCGAUGGCGAAGGCAGCCCCCUGGGUCAAAACUGACGCUGAUGCACGAAAGCGUGGGGAGCAAACAGG